rnacentral:lncRNA from 1 species
AUUUUUUUACUUUAGAGUCAAAGAAAGUUAGAGUCAGAGAGGUAAAGUGACCUGCCCAAGGUCACACCACAAAUAAUCUGGGAAAACCAGGAACGGGUCAUCUGGUCUAACGUCCAAGUGAUACUCUUCUAAUGGUCAAGCACCAUGGUUUGCAGAGAUCAGGCUUUUUUUUUUUUUUUUUUUUUAAGAUUUUAUUUAUUUAUUCAUAAGAGACACACAGAGAGGCAGAGACACAGGCAGAGGGAGAAGCAGGCUCGCUGCGGGGAGCCCUAUGCAGGGACUUGAUCCCAGGACCCCGGGGUCACGACCUGAGCGGAAGGCACCUGCUCAACCGCCGAGCCCCCCAGGCGCCCCUGGCUUGCGGAGAUCAGAAUCUCCCGCGGUGUCACUCCACUAGCCCACUGAUCCUGUCGUUGUCGCUAGGAGCGUGGUGUCAUCACUCCCAUUUUCCAGGUGGGGAGGCUGAGGCCCUCGCAAGCUGGCGGGGUUGCCCAGAGGCACGCGGCGAGCCAGCGGCACAGGCAGGAGGGCUGCAGGGCUCCGCUGCUCCCUGGGGCCUGGCCCCCCCCCCCCCCCGGGGAGCCAGGCCUUGGACCUGCCUCCGACGGGGCCGCGUCCGCCGGGAGUGAUUUCGCAGCAGCGCCUCCGUGAGCACCUGGCGGGAAGGACGCGCAGGGCGGGCCGGGGCAGCCCCGAGCCCGGGAGGAACGACCUCUGGCUGUCCUUCAAGCCUCGACGUCAGUGCCCUCUACGUCCCUGCGGCCCACCCCCACCCACACCCAAUUCUCCAGCUCCCGCCGUUUCCAAGCUCUUUCGGCCACGAUUUUCCAGCCUUCUCAGCGCUGGGUCUGGACCGCCGACCUGGAGGAGCCGAACUCGAUGCGAUUUGCAUAACGUGCCCGAUUGGCUCCUGCGGCCGCGGUGGGCGGGCCCCACCAACCCACCUGCCGGGGCGGAGCGCAGGACCGGGGCGGGGCCGGAGGGCCACCUGGCCGCCUCCCGGGGCCCGACGCCCGCAGCGGCCGCGGCGUGGACCGCCUACACUCCACGCAGCCGCUUCGCAAAGCGCGGCCUCCCGGAAACGUGCAUCUGCGGGACCUUCGCAAAGCAGAGCGAGAAGACCACAUCUAGUCCUGAUCUCUGGGCUACAUGGACCUCAGGCCAGCCUCCAACCAACCAUCUCCAUCUCCAGGCUAAAACACGGUAAAAGUGAAAACCCUUGUCCAAACAAAAUUCUGCACAUAGAUGUUCACAGCAGCUUUAUCCAUAAUUGCCAAAAGCUGGAAGCAGCCAAGAUGUCUUUUAGCAGGUGAACAGAUACACGGUGGUAUAUCCAGAUAAUUGACUAUUAUUUAGCACCAAAAAAAAAAAAAAGUGUUACCAAGCCAUGAAAAGACAUGGAGAAACUUUCGGUGCAUUUUACUAAGUGAAAGAAGCUGAUCUGAAGAGGCUACAUACAUACUGUAUGAUUCCAACUAUGUGACAACUAGAAAAGACAAAACUAUGAAGACUAAAAAAACAUCAGUGGUUGCAGGGGUGGGGACGGAAGAGGAAGGGCUGAAUAGAGCACACAGGAUUUUUAAGGAAAUGGGAAGAUUCUGUAUGAUACUAUAAUGAUGGAAUCAGGUUAUUAUACGUUUGUCCAAACCCCCAGAAUGUGCAGCCCCAAGAGUGAGCGCUAAUGUAAACCAUGGACUCUGGGUGACCAUGAUGUGUCAGUGUAGGUUCAUUCCGUGUUACAAGGGUUCUGGUCUGAGACACCUAGGUGGCUCAGCGGUUGAGCGUCUGCCUUCGACUCAGGUCCUGGGAUCAAGUCCCACGUGGGGCUCCCUGCAUGGAGCUUGCUUCUCCCUCUGCUUGUGUCUCUGCCUCUCUCUCUCUCUCUGUCAUGAAUAAAUAAAUAAAAUCUUAAAAGAAAAAAAAAGGGUUCUGGUCAUCAGGUCAGUAUGUGUGUGUGUGUAUUUGGCGGGUGGGGGGGGGGGUUCCCCACACAUCAACAAGCAAAGCUCCAGACACCAGCUGAGUGCCCUAUAAUUCAACUCAAUUCUACCUGGAGACAAGGUUGGAUUCCACAGGUGAAGGGCUCAAUCCUACAAGACUAUCCCUCUCCUCCACCCCCGCUUCAGAUGCCAACCACAAGUUCAGGUUGUCACCUGUGCUUCUGACCCAUGGGAUCUAGAUCAGAGGUUCGAGAGAUACCCCCUCCCCGUCCUGGAUUCCAUUAAUUUGCUAAAGCUGCUCGUAGACCUCAGGAAACCUGUUUAUUCACUAGAUCACCGGUUUCUUAUAAAAAGCUAUAUAACUGGAGAACAGCCAGAGUGAAGAGACGCAUAGGGGGUGCGAGGUGUGCCUACUGAAGGGUACGGAGCUUCCAUAUCACUCUCGGAAUCACUAUGUUCACCAACCAGGAGUUCUUUGAAACCCAUCCUCUUGGGUUUUUAUGGAGGCUUCAUUACAAAGGCACAGCUGAUUAGGUCAUCAGCCAUUAGCUUCCCCAUUCAGCCUCCAGCAUCCCUCCCCUCCCAGGCCCACCCUCGGGUGCUUUCCAAAAGUCACCAUUAACAUAAC